rnacentral:rRNA from 1 species
UACGGGGGGGGCAAGCGUUGUUCGGAAUUAUUGGGCGUAAAGGGCGCGUAGGCGGCCUGGCAAGUGGAAGGUGAAAUCCCUCGGCUUAACCGAGGAACUGCCCUCCAAACUGCUUGGCUUGAGUCCGGGAGAGGUGAGUGGAAUUCCCAGUGUAGCGGUGAAAUGCGUAGAUAUUGGGAGGAACACCAGUGGCGAAGGCGGCGCACUGGACCACAACUGACGCUGAGGCGCGAAAGCUAGGGGAGCAAACAGG